AUGCGGUGGUAUGCAGUAUGUUGCAUUAUUUUUACAUCAAAACCAACGGUCUCGACGCAGUAUUGAAGUAAAAGUAUGGCACCCUGGGCAAGUCGUCCAUAGCUUUCGCCGGCCCUGUUCUUACCGCCUCCCAAGUCAAGUUCGAAUCAAAUCACAGAUGUUACAGUGGACCGUACACGUCGCACAGACACGAACCAGCAAACGAUGUGUGCUCGGGUCGACGACUAGACUUCUUGUACGGAACGUGACGCGGUACCGAUUGGCCGACAACCCGAUUCGCCGACGCACCAUU